rnacentral:rRNA from 1 species
GUCACUGCUAUUGGGAUUCGACUAAGCCAUGCGAGUCGAGAGGGUUCGGCCCUCGGCUGACGGCUCAGUAACACGUGGAUAAUCUGCCCUAGGGUGGAGGACAAUCUCGGGAAACUGAGAAUAAUACUCCAUAGAUCUAGGAUGCUGGAAUGCAUCUAGAUUGAAAGCUCCGGCGCCCUAGGAUGAGUCUGCGGACUAUCAGGUAGUAGUCAGGGUAAUGACCUGACUAGCCUACGACGGAUACGGGUUGUGAGAGCAAUAACCCGGAGACGAUAUCUGAGACACGAUAUCGGGUCCUACGGGGCGCAGCAGGCGCGAAAACUUCACACUGUGCGAAAGCACGAUGAGGGAAUCCCAAGUGCCAGCUCGUAAGAGUUGGCUGUUUCUCUGUCUAAAAAAUAGAGAGAGUAAGAGCUGGGUAAGACGGGUGCCAGCCGCCGCGGUAAUACCUGCAGCUCAAGUGGUGGCCACUAUUAUUGGGCCUAAAACGUCCGUAGCCGGUUUAGUAAAUGCCUGGGUAAAUCGUGUAGCUCAACUAUACGAAUUCCGGGUAGACUGCUAGACUUGAGACCGGGAGAGGCUAGAGGUACUCCUGGGGUAGAGGUGAAAUUCUGUAAUCCUAGGGGGACCACCAGUGGCGAAGGCGUCUAGCUAGAACGGGUCUGACGGUGAGGGACGAAGCCCUGGGGCGCAAACCGGAUUAGAUACCCGGGUAGUCCAGGGUGUAAACGCUGCUCGCUUGAUGUUAGUCGGGCUCCGAGCCCGAUUAGUGUCGGAGAGAAGUUGUUAAGCAAGCUGCCUGGGAAGUACGGCCGCAAGACUGAAACUUAA